CGAGUCCUCGCUGGCACUCAACUACGCUGCGGGUCCCCGAGGAGGUCCAACACACUUGACAAAACCAACCACCACGUCCUCGUCCGAGCGGGAGCGAGACCGGGAUCGAGAGCGGGACCGGGAUCGGGAGCGGGAAAAGUCCAUCCUCACGUCCACCACGACGGUGGAGCACGCACCCAUCUGGAGACCUGGUACAGAGCAGAGCAGCGGCAGCAGCGGCGGGGGUGGGGGCAGCAGCAGCCGCCCCGCCUCCCACUCCCAUGCCCACCAGCACUCGCCCAUCUCCCCUCGGACCCAGGAUGCCCUCCAGCAGAGACCCAGUGUGCUUCACAACACAGGCAUGAAGGGUAUCAUCACCGCUGUGGAGCCCAGCACGCCCACGGUCCUGAGGUCCACCUCCACCUCCUCACCCGUUCGCCCGGCUGCCACAUUCCCACCUGCCACCCACUGCCCACUGGGCGGCACCC
rnacentral:lncRNA from 10 species